CAGGGGGCACCUCCAUGGAGCCGCAGCAGAGCUGGCAGAGGGUCCCUUGAGGUCCCCAGGGGAAGCCGGAAAUCAGGGACAGCAUUUCUUCAGUGUUCUGGAAAAGUAAAGUCAAGGUGAAAACGUAUUCAGACAGACAGAGCUGACUGGGACGCCCACUGGCCGUGCUCAGGAAGGUCUCAAGACUCUUAGGAAGAAGGGAGAUGACGGAGGUCCAGCUGAGAGAUGCAGACAGCAGCGAGUUUCCCUGCAAGGAAAACGUGGUGGGUCACAGCCCAGGGCCCACGGAGCCGGCAGCCGCAGGAAGCGGGUGGAGAGGGCAAGUGCCCGGCAGGAAAGCCCGAGGGGCCACUCCAGCUCAACCCCGAGGGACGGCAUUGCCGAGUGGCAGGUGCCAGUGUCCAGGGUGAGGUCUUCAAGCUCCAAGGUAAGCAGUGGGGAAAGAGAUUUUUAAAUAGUGUCUAACAAACCAAAAGAAGGAAAAAUAAAGGGAAAGAAUUGAUGAGAUAACAAGAAAGGAGAGAAAAGAGAAUCCAGAUUUGUAGGCAUCCAGUAAAACCACCUAAUAAAACCACACAGAGCUGUGCGUAACUCUCCACGGGCGUGCGCGUGUGCAGACAUCUUGUGCAUGCAUGACACACACAUGGUAUACAUCAUGUGUGUCUGCACAAAUUAGUGGGAUACAAGAGAAAAGCCGAAUGACCCCGUCAACCAACGCAGAAAAUCCCUUGUCAAAAUUCAGCACCUAUUAAUUUCAGCAAUACAGAAAUAGAAAUAAGCAAGAGCAAGCUGCAAAAUACAAAAUCUACAGAAAAAACUAUUUAUCCUUCCGAUGAACAAUCCAAACUCAAUUAAGAAAAACGACUUCAUUUUUAAUCGCUCCAGAAAAUAAAAAUAAAUACUUAGGAAUAAAGUUACUAAAAGAAUUAUAAGACUUCUUCACUGAAAGUACACAGCAUUGCAAGAAUCAGAGGUGAGCUCAGUACAUGGAAAGGCAGCCCACACCAUGGAUGGUGUUUCAGUUAGCUUUUUGUCACUGUGACCAAAAACCUGACGGGAAGGACUGAGAGGAGGAAGGUCUGUUUGGACUCAUGUUUCACAGGUUCAGCCCACAGAUGGCUGCCUGCACACUUCUGGGCCUGGGGCAGACCUCAUGGCAGAAAGGUGGGUGGGGGGGGAGCAGCUCAGGAGGUGCAGCCUCCACUCACCAAGGACAAAAUGUAUACCCAAAGCCAUGCCUCAGGGACCCACCUCCCCCCAGCCACACCCCACCUGCCUGCAGUCACCACCCAAUUAAUCCAUGUCAGUGGGUCAAUCCACUGAUUAGGGGACAGCUCUCCUAAUCUAUCUUUCACCUCUGAACAUACUUACAAGUUCUCACCCGGGAGCUUUUGGGAGGGAACUGGUAUCUAAACAGGUGAGAAGAUUUAUUUAAAAAAUGGUAAAUAUUCAACAAAUUGAAAUAGAUUCAACUCAAUCACUAUCAAAUUCCUAACUGGACUUUUUUUUGCAAAAAUUAGCAAGCUAACCUUAUAAUUCAUAUGGAAAUGUGAAACUGAUGACAACCAAAACGAAUUUGAAAAGAACAAAGUUGUGAAACCCACACUUCCCAAUUUCAAAAGUUGCCAAGCUGUGGUCACCGAGCAGCCUGCCCCUAGAUAGUGACAGACAUACAGAUCAUGGAAGGGAAUUCCAAUAAACCCUUAAACUUACAGCCAAUUGAUUUCAACAAGGGAUCCAUGACAGUUUAAUUGGGAAAGAACAAAUUAGUGCUAAGAAAACUGCCCACAGGCUGAAGAAUGAAGUCUGACCCUGCACCAUACCGAGAAGCUCAAAAUGGACCCUAAUGGAAGAGGCGAAGUUAGAAA
rnacentral:lncRNA from 1 species